rnacentral:lncRNA from 1 species
UGGAGAUGGGUUUAUGCUUAUGCCCUUGUGAAUUAACAACAAAUUUGAUGCCAGUUUGUUUAUGGUGAUGUGAACAUAAUUUUUUUUGUUCUCUCUGGUUUGGUUUAGGCGGUUGCGGUCAAAAUGGAAGUAAAGGCCAUGCCCACAUUUCUGCUGAUGAAGGAAGGAGCUCAGGUGGACAGGCUGGUGGGUGCCAAUCCAGAUGAGAUAAGGAAAAGGAUAGAUGCUUUGGUGCAGUCCUUUCGCGUGUAUGUAGCCUAGUGGGUUUAUGCAUACG